UGUACGCGUAUAAAAAACUGGUCAACGCGGAAGAACAUGCGCGCAAACAUGUAAUUUUUAACCUAACUCAAUAAAACCAGUACAGUUUUAUGUAAUAUCUUAAUAUAAUAUAAUAUAGGUAUUAUAUAUAAUAUUAUAUGUCCGGGUUCUGUAGUGCUCUGUGUUUGAACUCUGUAGUUUGUCGUAGUGCGCCAUAGGACGAAGGUGUCUGAACGAUACACAUUUUAUAAUAUUAUACUAUUAUAUAGGUAAAUUGCAGGUGUGAUUGCCACAAAACUAUCGUUUUUUGUAUUAGGGUCAUUAUUGUAUUAUUGGCUUUUUCAUCGGCUUAAAACCAUAUCGAUACACAACGGGUAAACUACAGAAAAACUUCACCGUCGAAUAUAGAAUAUCAAUAAUAUAGAAUGACAACCAAAAUCGAUUCAUCCGCAAAAUUUAUCGAUAGAUUCGUCGAUUUGGGCUCGAGGAUUCUAAACUGUCAAAAGUACCUGGACGUGAAAAAAAUUUUCAACUCAAUUCUGGAGAUUUUAUUAGCUUGCGCCAGUAGCUGCUUCCCAGCGAUAGAUUCGUUCACCGACGACGAAGACGACGAUACACAAACAGAACUAAAUAAGAUUAAACAAAACUGAAAAUGUACCUACUAAAGCAGUCGACUAGAAAAAAAUGAAAAAUUCUUCGGAUGAAUGAAUAAAACCGAUUGUUUCCUGAUGUUUUAUGUAUUAUGUAUUUUUAAUAAAUUUUAAGUUAUUAUUUUGUAAAUACCUUAGCUUUAUUCUUCAUGAAAAUUACCUGAUGAUUUUAGAAACCCAACUACUUAAACAAUACUAUAUGAUUGCUGUAUUUCUAAACAAUUGUAUACUGUUCAUUACAAAAAUCAUUUUACUAUAAUAUCGAAAUUUUUAAAAAUUAUGACCCCCCCCCUUAACCAUGUCUGUGAAGCCGCCCUGUAUGAUAUAGAUUAUAGAAACAAUUUAUAUUCAA